GGAGGGCUGGGCUGUGCGGCUGUCCCGUCCUCGUGAAGAGGAGCGUUGGGAGGAGCCGGGAGAGACAAGGCUAUGGGCGGCGGGCGGGGACGGCUGUCCCUCCCUCAAGGAGUGGAGUUAGCGAGGCUGCGCUGGGGUGCUCCGUUGCCGAGGAUGGGCCGAGUUCGAGGCGGCAAAGGUGCGGGUGUGCAGGGGGGAGGCGGCGCCCUCCUCGCUGGGUCUGGGGUCCCGCAGCGCCUCGGGCCGGAGCAGUGAGCGAGCGUGGGUGGGAGCUGCGGCCUGGGUCCUUGAGCCCGGCUGCCCCGACGGCAGGUGCACCGGGGUUGCGGGGGACUCGGCGCAUCUCCAGGGCGAGUGAGUCCAGGGCCUUCGGCCUACAGGCUGAGCAACGCGGACAACAGCGAGGGGGCUCCGUGGCACAGCUGGCGGGGUCACGGCGCACGCCUGGGCGCCCUGGAGCCCGGAGACUCAGCAGCCAUCGCUCGGGGCUACCACGGCCCUCCAGGCUCCUGAGCCACCCGCACGGAGGACGAGCUGCGGAGCGCGGUGUGCGGAUAGCCAAGCUCCUGCCGCCAAGGCCACCCCGAGCCCAGGCUGCCAGGGCGGCAUCCACAGCCGGCGGCCCGCGGGCCUGGGCCUGAGACCCGCGCAGCAGCCCCGCCUGCCCUGCCGUGAGAGGGAAGUAGACCGCGCUUGGUUUCCGCAGGAAUUGUCUGCCAGGCUUCUGGAGGCACCUGGGCCGUGUGGGUUCACAGCGGUCAUCCAGGGAAUGGAUGGACAUGGUGAGUUUCUGAAGCACGGGCAUCACCCUUAGGGUAGGGGGAGGGCUCCAACACCAAGGCCCCCAGCACACAUUUCACAAGGAAAAAUGACCGUGUCGUGCCUGUGUUGGUAGGUGAUCAACUGUGCUUAACCGAGAAGGGAAUUUUCUCUAGUUAGAGGCCUCACAUUAAGCAUGCAUUGGCUUCAUCUGGAGUGUGCAGAACAGAAUCAUUCUCUUCCCCAUUCCUCACCAAGAACAGUAAUUAGAAUGCAAGUUCAUCUCCAUAUAAUGCAUUAUGACUUUAAUAUCAGUAAAUGCUUCUUACAUAUUAGAUGCAGUGAGGAAAUAUUAGUUGAAAAUUCACAGACUGGUAUGAUCAGUUUCCUCUAGGAUAAAAUGUGAUAAAUGGGUUUUAAUAAACUGAGGAGAAUUAUAGGCACCAUCAUCUUGGUUCCUGUCAAUUUUACUUAGAGUAAAAUGCCAUUGCAAUAAUUAGUUGGUUUUUACUGUAUUCAUUAAAAGUUUUUCUAAUGACCA
rnacentral:lncRNA from 1 species